rnacentral:rRNA from 1 species
GACGAACGCUGGCGGCGUGCUUAACACAUGCAAGUCGAACGGAAAGGCCCUGCUUGCAGGGUACUCGAGUGGCGAACGGGUGAGUAACACGUGGGUGAUCUGCCCUGCACUUCGGGAUAAGCCUGGGAAACUGGGUCUAAUACCGGAUAGGAGCCAUUUUUAGUGUGAUGGUUGGAAAGUUUUUUUGGUGUAGGAUGAGCUCGCGGCCUAUCAGCUUGUUGGUGGGGUAAUGGCCUACCAAGGCGGCGGCGGGUAGCCGGCCUGAGAGGGUGGACGGCCACAUUGGGACUGAGGUACGGCCCAGACUCCUACGGGAGGCAGCAGGGGGGAAUAUUGCACAAUGGGCGCAAGCCUGAUGCAGCGACGCCGCGUGGGGGAUGACGGCCUUCGGGUUGUAAACUCCUUUCGCUAGGGACGGAGCUUUUUGUGACGGUACCUAGAUAAGAAGCACCGGCUAACUACGUG